AUUGAACGCUGGCGGCGUGCCUAACACAUGCAAGUCGAGCGGUAACAGGUGUAGCAAUACAUGCUGACGAGCGGCGAACGGGUGAGUAAUGCUUUGGAAUCUUCCCAGUAGUGGGGAAUAACCAGUCGAAAGAUUGGCUAAUACCGCAUACGUCUGUAAAGGGAAAGCGGGGGCUCGUAAGACCUCGCGCUAUUGGAUGAGCCAAAGUCGGAUUAGCUUGUUGGUGGGGUAAUGGCCUACCAAGGCGACAAUCCGUAGCUGGUCUGAGAGGACGACC
rnacentral:rRNA from 1 species